AGUUCCCGCGGUAGAUCGCCUCCGCAGGCCAUAAGCGUUCCUCCGGACGGCCUCCGGAGCCGUGCCGCGGAGGUUCGAACCCUCCAGGGG
rnacentral:tRNA from 1 species